UCUAACAUGUACGCGAGUCAUUGGGCUCUGCGAAACCUAAAGGCGAAAUGAAAGUGAAGGCCACGCACUUGUGCUGGUGCUUAGGGGUGAUGGUCGUUCCUACACGGGCGGCCCGCAACCCCGGGGCGUCUCGUUCUCUCUGAGAAGUGGCGCACCCAGAGCGUACACGUUGGGACCCGAAAGAUGGUGAACUAUGCCUGGCCAGGACGAAGUCAGGGGAAACCCUGAUGGAGGUCCGUAGCGAUUCUGACGUGCAAAUCGAUCGUCGGAGCUGGGUAUAGGGGCGAAAGACUAAUCGAACCAUC
rnacentral:rRNA from 1 species